AUGGCUCAUAUUAACACCAUCAUCCCAGAAACCCUAGACCCACUCCAAUUUGCAUACCGCCCCAACAGAUCCACAGAUGAUGCAGUCUCUAUUGCACUCAACACUGUCCUUUCCCACCAGGACAAAAGGAACACCUACGUGAGAAUGCUAUUCAUUGACUACAGCUUAGCGUUCAAUACCAUAGUGCCCUCAAAGCUCAUCAAUAAGCUAAGGACCCUGGGACUAAACACCUCCCUCCGCAACUGGAUCCUGGACUUCCUGACGGGCCGCCCCCAGGUGGUAAGGGUAGGUAACAACACAACCGCCACGCUGAUCCUCAACACACGGGCCCCUCAGGGGUGCGUGCUCAGCCCCCUCCUGUACUCCCUGUUCACUCAUGACUGCAUGGCUAGGCACGACUCCAACACCAUCAUUAAGUUUGCUGAUGAUUCAACAGUGGUAGGCCUGAUCACCGACAAUGAUGAGAAAGCCUAUAGGGAGGAGAUCAGAGACCUGACCGUAUUGUGCAAGGACAACAACCUCUCCCUCAACGUGAUCAAGACAAAGGAGAUGAUCGUGGACUACAGGAAAAGGAGGACUGAGCAUGCCCCCAUUCUCAUCGAUGGGGCUGUAGUGGAGCAGGUUGAGAGCUUCAAGUUCCUUGGUGUCCACAUCACCAACAAACUAACAUUGUCCAAGCACACCAAGACAUUCGUGAAGAGGGCACGACAAAACCUAUUCCCCCUCAGGAGACUGAAAAGAUUUGACAUGGGUCCUCAGAUCCUCAAAAGGUUUUACAGCUGCACCAUCGAGAGCAUCCUGACUGGUUGCAUCACUGCCUGGUAUGGCAAUUGCUCGGCCUCCGACUGCAAGGCACUACAUAGGGUAGUGCGUACGGCUCAGUACAUCACUGGGGCCAAGCUUCCUGCCAUCCAGGACCGCUAUACCAGGCGGUGUCAGAGGAAGGCCCUAAAAAUUGUCAAAGACUCCAGCCACCCUAGUCAUAGACUUUUCUCUCUUCUCUCUCGGCAAGCGGUACUGGAGCACCAAGUCUAG
rnacentral:lncRNA from 8 species